AGUAUUGUUGGCACCAUCUGUUUUAGCCACAUCAUAUUGUCAUCGCCUCUCGUUGCACUAACAAAUAUAAUGCAAGUUAAUUUUCAUGUGAUACGAGCUCUGGGCACUGCUGCCACCGUCUUUUUUACUAAAGCAAUUAUUUUCGAUGCAGCCGCACUCAGAACAUAAUGUAAAAAUGAUGCGGGAAGAGUAUAUUUUUAUAUGGCAAAUAAUCUUUUUUUUUAUUUUCUGUCUAAUUUAUACAGAAACCAUCUGCGUGAUUUUGUUCUCAAAUACAAUAGAAAUAUUGAUGAAGUCACAUGACCGAAAGUAAAAUGUGUAGUAACUAUAUAUAUAUAUUCACAGACUGUCUUUAGAAAGUUUCCACAAGUGGGAGCAACAUGAUGGGGCCUCUCGUCCUUCUGCUCUGCUUCAUUCAAGGUUUUGGUGUUCAAGGGGCCGAAUGGGAGAUUAUAAUUCGUACAUCUGACAGCGAAGACGCGGCAACAGACUCCGAUAUCUAUAUUACUCUCCAUGGAUCUCGCGGAUCUUCCGCAGAAAUAAAGUUAUUCCAUUAUUACAACCCCUUUCAGAGUAAUCAGAUGGACAGUUUCAUUGUUACAACGGAAGACAUUGGUGAAGUGUGUUCACUGACCAUCAGGUCUGCCGGUAACUAUGCUGAUCAUGACUGGCAUCUCCGAGAGGUAAAAUAUAACUUUAAAAACCAUUUUUUGCAGUAAAUGCUAAGAAAAAACUGAAUUGUUGUGCUUGGGUCAAACACUCAACUAAUAUAGCUGUCAAUAGCACCAUAGCAUCUGGUCACUGUGCCACGUUCAUAUUUCAUCAAAGUCAUAAGACUGUUCUCUUUUAACCUGAAAAAACACAACAGUUGCAGGAAUAUGAAGAAAAUAUUGCCGCAGUGUAUUCUUUCUCCACUAAGUGACUUCUAUUUACGAUGCUUUUUUAAUAAGACCCCAAGAUAUAACUGAUAUUUAAUUUGGUAAUUAUGUGAUCCAUCCGUUGCGAUACAAACAUCCAUGACAGCACAAAAUGUUGGACCACUGUGGUUAGAGCGUUGUAGGUGCUGGCCAUCUUGUCCACUGAGAGCUAGCCUCAAGCCAGGAUGUAAACAAUACAGCGGCCAGUAAGAAACUCCCGCUACAUGGCUGUCACCAUGGUAACACACCGCCUGCAGGUAGCCGAUGAUAGUUCGCCGUUGCCAUGUUUGACUGACAUAUGUAUAUAUGUCGGCACAGAACACAACCAAUCUGAGCUUCCAUCAUAAUGAUGAUAAUAUAUACAUAUAAAUAUAUAUGUCUAAGACUGCGCCCUUGAGCUUUAAUGGUAGCCACACUGUCAGUCCUGUAUUUUUCCCUAAUGGGCCAAAAUAUUUUGACACGAUUGUACCAUGAUAGAAGUCAUAGUUGGAGCCGACAUGGCUCAACAUUACAACAAUAUUUCUCCAAGAUUUAUUUCAUUUAAGUGGACACAUUUCUCUAAUCACAUCACAGUAUUUACGGUAACUGCGGUAGAUAUCACAACUGAUUACCACGGACAUCAUUGUUUACUGUUCAGAUUAAAUAAAAUUUUUACAAAUUUAUUAGAAUUUAUAGUUCAUUUGUUAAAUUUAAUCUAUUCUUAACAAAGCAUUACACAUGCGGGAAGUCCCCCAAGGAAUUUGCGGUUAAAGACAUCUUUGCCUAAACCUAAUGGCAUCAGGCAGACAAUAUUUCCAAUGGCACCUGACACACCGACUGUUGUUUUACCUGGUUAUCACUUUAGUAAUACUACAUCCUUUAGGAUAAAGACAAAAAUGUUUAUUGUCUUGUAUUAGCCUUUCCGAAAAAAUUUCGUAGUAUUCAUUCGCAAAAUGCGUAUUUCAUGCAAUGUUGUUAUGUUUGUCCUCUUUGCAAAUUUAAAUCCCAAUGAUACAGAAAUAAGAAUUCUCGACGUGUCUAAUGACAUUAAAUGUCUUAUUGCUUAUGAUAUCUGAGAGUGAUUACACAUUUGUCGCAAAGCUCGUAUCUCCCAUACAUAUACCAGGUUUUUUUGCUUUUCUGUUGCUCACAGAUUGUGGUUCACGGAAUUACACAAAAGGAACCUUCACGGCACACUUUUACGUGCAGGUGUUGGUUAGAUAAACAACAUGGAUUAAACAGGGUUAUCCAAGCUGAUAUCCCAUGCUCCCGACAGAGCUAAUAAGUAAACCGAAGUAGGCGCAGACUUUGAAUCCGGCACUGACCAACCAGCAUAAAGCACAGACCAUGUCAGCUGAGUCUUUCUUCUGAUGCAAUUCUAGGAUAACAUGGACCAGGAAGCUACGCACAGAGACAAGCACAACCCAUACUCAUGACCUCUGUUUUAAACAACAGUAUGAAGAAGGAAGAACAAUCAUUAAACUGUUUUACAAUAAGAGAAAGAGGACAAGCACUAUCAGAUUAGUUAAAAGCUUUGCUUUAUUCGUAAUAAUUGUGAAAUAUAUGUUCGAUACAAUCAGACCUAUGCCGUGAGGAAUUUUGUAUUUGAUAAAAAUACUCCCAUUAUGUAAGUG
rnacentral:lncRNA from 1 species